rnacentral:lncRNA from 1 species
GCAUUUCGCAAGGACUCAGGCUUAACUUUCAAGGGGUAUUUUUUUUUUCUGUAGUAAGGCCGUAGUAGUAAGGGAAGAAGAGUGACCCAAGGAGGGCCUGAGGAUAUUCUGCAUUCAGUUGAUGGACAAUCAAGGUGCAUAAAGCAUGUGCAUAUCUCUGUCUCCUCUGCCUGGAAUGAUGCACAACAUGUUCUCCAUUUUUCCUUUGGAAGUCUCUGUCAGAAACAUGCUACCACAUGGAAAGAUCUACAUGGCAAGGAACUGAAAGAAUGAAAGAGGACCCCUUCUAAUAGCUAGCAAGAGGCUGAUUCUGUCAGCCUAAUAGCCUGUAAGGAACUAAAUCCUGCCAACAACCACGUGUCUUGAAAAUGUAUCCUUCCACAGUCUAGCCUCAGAUAAGAGUCUACCCCAAACAAUAGCUUGGUUGCAACCUUGUGAAAGACACUGAAGCAGAGAACCCAGUUAAGUCACACCCAGAUUUUUGGCCCAGAGAAAUUGUGAGAUAACGAACAUACCUUGUUUUAAGCUGCUAAUUUUGUGGGAAUCAGUUACACAGCAAUAGAGAACUAAAAAAUUUGCUCAAGGUAAUGGAAGUAAUAAGUUGAUGAGUAAGAAUGUGAAACUUGACAGUUUGAUUUAGGAAGUUUAUGCUAACAGCUGCAAUUUUAUAUUUUUACAUUGGAACAUUUUUAUUUUUUAUGUUUCAGUAGAAAUUGUUCUAGUACCAGUUUUAAUUAUAAAAGGUACCAUGAUAAAAGCCAAAAUCGGUUACCUGAGAGUAAGAUGUUCCUAUCUAAUAGAGUUCUUGGGUAUCUACUUGCAUCCAUUGAGAAAUAAAGAUUUGGAAAGUAUUCUGAGUGAGGGAAAGACUUGAACUUUGCCCAUAACUGGCAUUCAGAUAAAGACAAGUUUGAUAAAUACCCUAGCAGUAGUCAUACACAUGGGAGAUGAUGGGGUUUCUGAUAUUAAAUUUCUGUGAGAGGGGAUUGCAUCUAACACAAUCAUCUCAACUUUAAAUGAGGCUCUAGGGUUGAAGUAAAAUGAUAGCUCAGAGCACAGCUUGGUGGCAGUUACCAGUUCUAAUGGCAUCUCAGUGCUCUGUGCAGAAGAGGACUGUGUAGGAGUUGAAAGAGAUGUUUCCUUUGACUCUGAAACUCUGACACUGAAGCAAAGUCACUGUGGGACCCAAUUAAUUGAGUGUAAGACAGAGGAUAACAUUUCUCUCACUUGGCAAGUAUGGUGAGAGAGCCCCAGCUCAACAAUUCCAAGGCUCAAAUAAUUUUGUCACCAGUGACAGCUUUAUUGGGCAGCAGGAGCAGAGGUCUGUUUGUCUGUGGACCUGUCUGUUCCUGAGGCAUGGGAGCCCAGCCCAAUGAGUUGUGGGAAGGACAGCAAGCAGGACUCAUACAUAUGUGAGUGGAGAUAAGGAUAGGGAAUAUUGCAGUCAAGCAGAGGAGGGUUUACAGAUAGAGUGUUAAUGUAGGUGUCACGAUAUUUCACGUGUAGGCUGAUGAUGCCAGAACAUUAAGUUAUAUAAAGAUUAAAGAAAAUAAAUAAGCUAUGAAAUUCCACAGCCCAAUCACUCACAUGUCUGUGCAAAAUAUCUCUCGUGUAAAAUUGGUGAUUACAUUCUGAAGAAACUUGUUUCUGAAUAUUUUAUGCUGCCAUAGUUAUUUGAAAC